ACGGAAGGCAGCAGUGGGGGAUAUUGCACAAUGGGCGCAAGCCUGAUGCAGCAACGCCGCGUGAGGGAAGACGGGCUUCGGAUUGUAAACGUUUGUCUUUGGUGAAGAAGAAAGUGACGGUAGCCAAGGAGGAAGCCACGGCUAACUACGUGCCAGCAGCCGCGGUAAUACGUAGGUGGCACGCGUUGUCCGGAUUUACUGGGUGUAAAGGGAGCGCAGGCGGGACAGCAAGUUGGAUGUGAAAUACCGCGGCUUAACCACGGAGCUGCAUCCAAAACUGUUGUUCUUGAGUGAAGUAGAGGUAGGCGGAAUUCCGAGUGUAGCGGUGAAAUGCGUAGAUAUUCGGAGGAACACCAGUGGCGAAGGCGGCCUACUGGGCUUUAACUGACGCUGAGGCUCUAAAGUGUGGGGAGCAAACAGGAUUAGAUACCCUGGUA
rnacentral:rRNA from 1 species